ensembl:lncRNA
CAGCAAAAAAGCCAAGUCACAAACGAAAACUUUGUAUUCCUUUUUAGUGCUACUGGUUCAAAAGAUGGGAUGAGUGGUAAAUUUUUCUGCAAAUCCGAAGGAACCAGAACAGGGAUGGUCAGCUUAGCAAGAGAAACCAAGGCACCAGUUGUAUGAUGUGAAGUGCUGCUGAAGUCAGUGGAGUUGCACUGCUAUAAAACCAGAUACAACAGAGCAGGUACUUAGCACUUAUGAAAUGCAAGCUCAAGGCAGGCUGUGAGGAACAUCUGCACUUAGAGAAGUCCUUCUGGAAAGCCAAUGGAAAUUAUUUGCUCAAAUAUUAUGCUCCUCCAGCAAUCAGUGGAACUAUUAGUUAACCUGAGGGUGGUCUCUUGCCCACUGCGAGCAUGGCAGGAUCCAUGUGAGGGGACAGAGGAAGAUACAGGCUCACAUUCCAGCAAAGAUGUCCACAGAGGGAUGCACUUCCCCCUGAGGAGCUAUCAGGUCCCUCUGACACCACUGCCUUCUAACACGGACGUUCUCCAGCCUGCAUCAGUCAUCACAGGACACAGCUCUUUUCAUACCUUCUUCCCAACGCUGUGCUGAGGCUCCUGUGGAAUUGCUGUCUGUCUGUCAGCGUUCCUACCUGUGCCUGUGGUCAGUGCUGAUACUCAGGUGAGCUACAGACCACUGAUUAAGUGCAGUCCCAUACCACUGGUGAGCAAUCACAGAAGUUUGGACAACCAUGUAUUCUCACUGAGCCCUGUUGCACUGUGCAGUAAUUAAAAAGUCAUGAGUCCUAUUUAAAUAUAGGGCAUUCUGUCCUAAACCUUUGAGUGCCUGUGGGUGUGAGCAGGCUCAUUCUCCAAAGAUGUUCUCUGGUCUGUGUACAUACACCAGCUUCAUCAAAAGGAUGUAGGAAAUGCCAAAUCCAGAUAUACGGAUUCCACUUUUUUUUAAAAAAUACAUCAUUGAUCAGUCCAGGGAUGGCAAAAAUUAAUAGUAAUGAGCUAAUUACUAUACCAGCUGCCUACAAAGAGAGGACCUGUAGGCAGACUCCUUCUGCCCAUUUGCCUGCUGGUUAAGCCACCACAUUAGAAAUUAUAAAACAAAACUUUUUUCCCUUUAUAAACAUCUAUCAGUAUCACCUUAAUAUGGCCCACAGCACCAACACUGCCUAGCUUUUAAGUUCUCAGAAUCCAGCCAGAAUCUCCCCUAGCACAUUAUAACACAUUUUACUGGCUUGAGCAGGGUAAAACACAGCCGUCUCCUCAAAUGAAUGGCUGGUGAGCUCCAGCAGCCCCUGCACAAGGCCGGGCUCACCAUCUGUGUUCCUCCCAACGUCCGAAGCCCGUUCACAACUGCCAGCCCUUUGAAAAGCCAGCCUGUUUUCCUGAUUGAUUCACUUUUUAAUGAACUGGGAAAGCCUGUGAACUUAAACCCUGACACCUCCACCUCCCUGCCUUCCUAGCCAUCCCUGCAGCAAUGUACUGAUUAUAUUUCAAGUUAUUAUGGGAUUAAUACAGCUGCCCCCAGUGCCUCUUUCCCCUGAACUUCAUCAAUAAAAGUUGUGUCCUAGUCUUACUCUAGUUAGUU